rnacentral:rRNA from 1 species
CACGUAGUUAGCCGGGGCUUUCUUCUCAGGUACCGUCACUCCGGGUGCAGUUACUCACCCGGACGUUCUUCCCUGGCAACAGAGCUUUACGAUCCGAAAACCUUCAUCACUCACGCGGCAUUGCUCCAUCAGGCUUUCGCCCAUUGUGGGAGAUUCCCUACUGCUGCCUCCCGUAGGAGUCUGGGCCGUGUCUCAGUCCCAGUGUGGCCGUUCACCCUCUCAGGUCGGCUACGCAUCGUCGCCUUGGUGAGCCAUUACCCCACCAACUAGCUAAUGCGCCGCAGGCCCAUCUCACAGUGACAGCUUGCGCCGUCUUUCCUCAUCCUCCGAUGCCGGAAGAUGAUGUAUCCGGUAUUAGCAUCCGUUUCCGGAAGUUAUCCCAGACUGCAAGGCAGGUUGCCUACGUGUUACUCACCCGUCCGCCGCUAAGUGAUGGUGAAAGCAAGCUUUCACCAUCACUCCGCUCGACUUGCAUGUAUUAGGC